rnacentral:rRNA from 1 species
CGAACGGUGAUGCAGAGCUUGCUCUGCUGAUCAGUGGCGAACGGGUGAGUAACACGUGAGUAACCUGCCCUUGACUCUGGGAUAAGCGCUGGAAACGGCGUCUAAUACCGGAUACGACCUUCCCCGGCAUCGGGUGGGGGUGGAAAGAUUUUUUGGUCCAGGAUGGACUCGCGGCCUAUCAGCUUGUUGGUGAGGUAAUGGCUCACCAAGGCGACGACGGGUAGCCGGCCUGAGAGGGUGACCGGCCACACUGGGACUGAAACACGGCCCAGACUCCUACGGGAGGCAGCAGUGGGGAAUAUUGCACAAUGGGCGAAAGCCUGAUGCAGCAACGCCGCGUGAGGGAUGACGGCCUUCGGGUUGUAAACCUCUUUUGGCAGGGAAGAAGCGAAAGUGACGGUACCUGCAGAAAAAGCACCGGCUAACUACGUGCCAGCAGCCGCGGUAAUACGUAGGGUGCGAGCGUUGUCCGGAAUUAUUGGGCGUAAAGAGCUCGUAGGCGGUUUGUCGCGUCUGCUGUGAAAUCCCGAGGCUCAACCUCGGGCCUGCAGUGGGUACGGGCAAACUAGAGUGCAGUAGGGGAGACUGGAAUUCCUGGUGUAGCGGUGGAAUGCGCAGAUAUCAGGAGGAACACCGAUGGCGAAGGCAGGUCUCUGGGCUGUAACUGACGCUGAAGAGCGAAAGCGUGGGGAGCGAACAGGAUUAGAUACCCUGGUAGUCCACGCCGUAAACGUUGGGGCGCUAGAUGUGGGGGACCAUUCCACGGUUUCCGUGUCGCAGCUAACGCAUUAAGCGCCCCCGCCUGGGGAGUAC